AGCCAGGUGAGAGGAUGAGGUGCUCCAACCACAGCCCAGGCUCAGGAGCUGCUCCGAGAGGCUGGAUGCAGACUAGAGACAGCACCAGAUGCCCACCAGGGCACAGGUCGUGCUUUGCUGCAGCACCUGAGGUCUAAAUCACUGACCACUUUAGCUUAUUUAAAAAUACAGAUUUAAGAAUGGGUGAUUAUGCAGAAGAACAGUCCAGGAGGCUAUGUACCAAAAUGUGAACUGCUUCAUUCAGCAAAGUGUAAUGAGGGGUUCUGACAUGCCAGGCACAGGGCACAUGGGGCACAGGGGCAAACGGGGUGAGAAAGUCAUCACGGACGUUCUAGGGCCUGGAGGACUUGCAAACAGACCAGGACGGAAAUGUCACAGCUGGCGGUGCUGAGGGCUGGGCUAGGCCAUAAAGCCAGUAGGGACAGAGUGUUGGGGGCUAGCACAGACAGGAUGGUGGUCAGUGAAGGGUCUUCCCUCAGGGGGAGACACUUGAGCAAAUAUUCAAGUAAAUGGGAACUUUAUUCACCCUCUCUAGAUGGCAAUAUGUGAGUUUGGGGGUUUUCUUUUUUGCAUAUGUGUAUUUAAUUUUUUGGUCCUAAGAAUACUGGUUAGGUCCCUUGAAAAUUCAAAAGGAAAACAAGGCAGUGCCCUAGGCCCCUUCUGUAACAUCCAUAAGCACGAAAUCCAAGAUUUCUGGUAAAGGAAUCCAUGUCCUUUAUCUUCGUGUCUGUGUGUAUCACUUAUAGUCACUCAGUACAGGUGCCCAUACACCUUCCAACCCCGUCCAGCAGCACCUUCACCAUUAUAAAGCCCAAAGGGCCCAGGCCUCCGCACUCUUCCCUCUUCUCUGCACACCAGUUACUGGAUGGUCUUGUGACUCUCUGCCCAAAACUCAGCACUGGCUCCUCCAUCCUCCAGACAGGAUCCUAUCCAGUAUUUCUUUUUCAGUAAAGAGCUCCAUCACCCACACAGCUGCUUAGGACAAAUGCCCCCAUGCCACCCCUGAUGCCUCUCCUUCCCUCACACGCUACAUCAGCUCCACCUUGAAACAAAGCUAGAGUGUAGCCACCUCACAUCAUCUCUGCUUUAGCUACCCUGGGUCAAGCCACCAAACUUGCCAAUAGUUUUAUCUUUCAGUAUGCUGAAAAACACUAAUUACUAAUCUACACUCCUCACUCUGACCUACAAGGUCCCAUGUGAUCUGGCCCCAGCUCCUAGCUUCAGUGUUGGCUCAUUCCAACCCUUAGCCCUGGCUCCUCCAGCUACGGUGACCUUCCCGUGGGCCUCUAAAUGCACCAGGUUUAGGCCUACUUUCACACCUGCUUCCUCUCUGCCAGGAACACCCCUCCUCCAGGGUCUGCAGACUUUGCUCCCUCACAUCAUCAUCACAUACCACCUUCUUUAAAAAGCUUAACCUGUCCCCAUUUCUCUGACACAUCAGCCCCCAAAAGAUGUUUUAUUUUUUAAAUAAUACUCAGCUUCCCAUGACAAAUUAUGUAUUUAUAUACUGUCUCUCACCACCCACAAGAACAGAAGCUCCUGAAGAACAAGAACUGUGUUGAGUUCAUCCCUGCAUCCUUAGCAGUGAUGCACAAUAGGAGCAAAAUAAACACGUCUGGAAUGAAUGAGUCAUGGAAUGUGCUAGGCUCUGACACAAACAUACACUAUGACAGAACAGACUUCUGUUUCCAGCAGCUAGGUAAACCAGGUAUCUUAAUGUGUCUCCCACUGAAAAAUUUUAAAAGCUGAAUAAAAUAUAAUUACAUCACUCUAUUAUACUCUAAAUUAUCAUAAAGGAAUCUAAAGACAACAAAAAGGUAAAUUUAAAGAAGGAAUAUAAGUAGAUAAGUCAGCUUUUUCUCUCAGGUAACAAGGAGAGACAAAGAAAGAAAAUAUAAAAGAUUAAAGACUUGGGAAAAACAGUGAAGCCUAACUUACAUCUAAGAAACUUCCAGAAGGAGAUAACAUUAAGGAUGGGUAAGAAGCAAUCUUUAAAGACCAUUUUCAGCAUGCUGAAAGACACAAAACCACAGAUCAAAGAAGCCCAAUGAAUUCAAGCAAGAUUUUAGAAAGAAAGCAAGAGCCAGGGAUCCCUGGGUGGCGCAGUAGUUUGGCACCUGCCUUUGGCCCAGGGCGUGAUCCUGGAGACCCGGGAUCGAAUCCCACAUCGGGCUCCCGGUGCAUGGAGCCUGCUUCUCCCUCUGCCUGUGUCUCUGCGCCUCUCUCUGUGACUAUCAUAAAUAAAUAAAAAUUAAAAAAAAAAAAAAGCAAGAGCAUGCCAAGAUAAAUUAAAGUAAAACUUUAGAACCUCAAAGGCACAGGAAAGGUCAUAAGAGCAGCCAAAGAGAAAAGACCAAAAAGAAUGAUAACUGGACCAAGAGCAACAAUGAACACCAGAAGACACUGCAGUGAUAUAUUCUACAUGCUGAGCAACAAUAUUUGCCAUCUCAGAAUUCCAUACUCAGCAAAACUAGUUUUUAAUAAGAACUUGAGAUUUUCAAACAGAUAAAAUAGAUACCACCACCACCACCCUCCAAAGACAUCACAGGGAAAAAAUUCUAAAGGAUCUAUUUCAGGCAAAAAGAAAUGAUCUCAAAGGGAAAGUUUGAAGCACAAGAAAAAAUGCCUAACCAGCACGCCUGCCACAGAGAGAGACAAACCACGACACCAAAGGAUAAGCACCUGUCGGUACUCUCUAAGAGACAAGUACCACCAUGUGAUUACAAGUAAGCUGGAGUACAAAGAGAAAAUGAGACCAACCUGAAGAAAGCCAGGGAGAGAGCCGGGCGCUAAAUCUGCAGCCUGCACAGGAAUGCCCAGGCAGGGAAUGAUAUUCUGGAGAGAGAAAGUGUAGCAGGCACUAAGCAGAAUAAGGUCCCUCCAGCUCUAUGAGAAGACUCGUCACCCUGGCACUUAGAAGUCUCUACCCCACUGGACUAUGAGCUCUUCAGGGGUAAGAACGGAGUCUCGACCAUCAUGGACCCCAGGGCUGGCACAAGACCUGAGGUACACUCAGUGGACAAGAGACUCUGCCAAGUGGGCAAACUGAAUGUAUGAACAUAAGCAGGCGUAAGUGAGCACAUCACCCAAUCCAGCCACCCAGCAUCCUGGUGAACUGUCCCUCCAGGAGGUGACCUAAUGAAUGGUUGGAAAGAAGCACAGAGCUUGCUCAGGUGCCUGCACAUCUGUCAGUGCGAGCAGUCAGGUGCCAGGAUGAUCACAGCCUACAUAUGAGACUUGCUGUGAGUUUUCGCCAUUAGGACAACAUCUACUAUCCUAAACUCACACUCGUCAACCUUAGCAGUCUACUGGAUGAGCCCAAGAAUAAAUAUAAUGUCUUGGCAUUGAACAAGAAAUAUGCAAAGCCUUCUCCGCGAGUGGCUCUGAUCCUUCUCUGCAUGGCCUUGGGGCCUUGUCAUAUAACGUUCUUCCACACAGCACAGGCCAGAUCUAGAGGAACCUGCGCUGAACACACUCACAGGAUCUAGGAUCUAGCCAGCAUACUGGCAAAAGUUUUCUCAAGGCCUUAAGAGAAGAUUCUAAGGCCACGGCUAGAAGCUGUCCUGGAGAGAAGCCCCGAAGAGAGAUGGAAAUGAGGAAGGCCUGGAUGACACCAACAGCAUGAACUCUGAGAGGCUUCGGGGCCAAAAGCACCCCAGGAGCUGCCCUAACCCUCCUCAGUCUACAGUAAAGCCAGUACCAUAUCCCCUUCACAUCUUUAGAUUCACAGGCACACCAGAAUCCAAACUAAUGUAGGCAGAAGCAAGCGGCAAGGAGGAAUAUCAAGCAUUACUUACUGACUAGGGCAAUCAUAUACUAAUUAUAUACCUAUGUAUACAGAUAUUUACAUGCAUAAUUACACAUAUACGUACAUAUACAUUAAGAAGGUCAAUUAUAUAUUAAGAAAAGGAAGCCAGUUAAACUAUUCUAUGCUUAAUAUGUACUGAAAAUAUAACAGUAAAGAUAAAAUGCUAGUUGGGAAACAAAGAUAACUAAAUUAUGGGAGAAGUGAACCAAGUUGCUCCCUAUUUGCCCUUUCUUUGGCCUUCAGAUGUGGUCAUCUGGCUCUUCAACCGAAAACAGCAGCUUCUUCAAGGCUAAUGACAAAACUGCCUGCCAGAGCUGCAGGAGGGAAGACACAGUGCCACCCUAUUGCAUAGAAACACUGAUCACAUAUGCUACUUCGUUCUUAAGUUUUAUAAAUUAAAAUAAGGGG